AAUAGAUACCCGGGUAGUCCACGCUGUAAACGUUGGACACUAGGUGUGGCGGUCUGAUCAACGACUGCCGUGCCGAAGCUAACGCAUUAAGUGUCCCGCCUGGGGAGUACGGCCGCAAGGCUAAACUCAAAGGAAUUGACGGGUCCCCGCACAAGCGGCGGAGCAUGCGGCUUAAUUCGAUGCAACCCGAAGAACCUUACCUGGGUUUGACAUCAUGGGAAAAGCCGUGGAAACACGGUGUCCGUAAGGGCCCAUGACAGGUGGUGCAUGGCUGUCGUCAGCUCGUGUCGUGAGAUGUUGGGUUAAGUCCCGCAACGAACGCAACCCUUGUCCUAUGUUGCCAGCGGUUCGGCCGGGGACUCAUAGGAGACUGCCGGGGAUAACUCGGAGGAAGGUGAGGACGAUGUCAAGUCAUCAUGCCCCUUAUAUCCAGGGCUGCACGCAUGCUACAAUGGUCGGUACAACGGGCAGCGAUCCUGCGAAGGUGAGCGAAUCCCACAAAGCCGGCCUCAGUUCGGAUUGGAGU
rnacentral:rRNA from 1 species